rnacentral:rRNA from 1 species
AGAAAGCGUAAUAGCUCACUGGUCGAGUCGGCCUGCGCGGAAGAUGUAACGGGGCUAAACCAUGCACCGAAGCUGCGGCAGCGAACGUAUCACCCAAGACAACUUUACGGAGUUGACGAUUGACGGAGCGAAGCGACGUCAAAGCGUUCAUUAAAGUCGAGUUGGCUUAGGGAUACGUUCGUUGGGUAGGGGAGCGUUCUGUAAGCCUGUGAAGGUGUGUCGUGAGGCAUGCUGGAGGUAUCAGAAGUGCGAAUGCUGACAUAAGUAACGAUAAAGCGGGUGAAAAGCCCGCUCGCCGGAAGACCAAGGGUUCCUGUCCAACGUUAAUCGGGGCAGGGUGAGUCGACCCCUAAGGCGAGGCCGAAAGGCGUAGUCGAUGGGAAACGGGUUAAUAUUCCCGUACUUGGUGUUACUGCGAAGGGGGGACGGAGAAGGCUAUGUUGGCCGGGCGACGGUUGUCCCGGUUUAAGCGUGUAGGUGUGUGUUCCAGGUAAAUCCGGUUCACUUUAACACUGAGGCGUGACGACGAGGCACUACGGUGCUGAAGCAACAAAUGCCCUGCUUCCAGGAAAAGCCUCUAAGCAUCAGGUAACAUCAAAUCGUACCCCAAACCGACACAGGUGGUCAGGUAGAGAAUACCAAGGCGCUUGAGAGAACUCGGGUGAAGGAACUAGGCAAAAUGGUGCCGUAACUUCGGGAGAAGGCACGCUGACACGUAGGUGAAGUGAUUUACUCAUGGAGCUGAAGUCAGUCGAAGAUACCAGCUGGCUGCAACUGUUUAUUAAAAACACAGCACUGUGCAAACACGAAAGUGGACGUAUACGGUGUGACGCCUGCCCGGUGCCGGAAGGUUAAUUGAUGGGGUCAGCG